rnacentral:rRNA from 1 species
AGUGAACGCUGGCGGUAGGCCUAACACAUGCCAGUCGAACGGCAGCACAGUAAGAGCUUGCUCUUACGGGUGGCGAGUGGCGGACGGGUGAGGAAUACAUCGGAAUCUACUUUUUCGUGGGGGAUAACGUAGGGAAACUUACGCUAAUACCGCAUACGACCUACGGGUGAAAGCAGGGGAUCUUCGGACCUUGCGCGAUUGAAUGAGCCGAUGUCGGAUUAGCUAGUUGGCGGGGUAAAGGCCCACCAAGGCGACGAUCCGUAGCUGGUCUGAGAGGAUGGUCAGCCACCCUGGAACUGAGACACGGUCCAGACUCCUACGGGAGGCAGCAGUGGGGAAUAUUGGACAAUGGGCGGAAGCCUGAUCCAGCCAUACCGCGUGGGUGAAGAAGGCCUUCGGGUUGUAAAGCCCUUUUGUUGGGAAAGAAAAGCAGCAGGUUAAUACCCCGCUGUUCUGACGGUACCCAAAGAAUAAGCACCGGCUAACUUCGUG